UACGGAGGGGGCUAGCGUUGUUCGGAAUUACUGGGCGUAAAGCGCGCGUAGGCGGACCUGCAAGUCGGGGGUGAAAGCCCGAGGCUCAACCUCGGAACUGCAUUCGAUACUGCGGGUCUCGAGUCCGGGAGAGGUGAGUGGAAUUCCUAGUGUAGAGGUGAAAUUCGUAGAUAUUAGGAAGAACACCAGUGGCGAAGGCGGCUCACUGGCCCGGUACUGACGCUGAGGCGCGAAAGCGUGGGGAGCAAACAGG
rnacentral:rRNA from 1 species